GGUGUGUACUGGUCUUGAUGGAAGCUUACCUCUUGGUGGGUCGGCAUGCCCUUCGUUGGGUGUGUCGAUUAACCAGGACUUUUACUUUGAGAAAAUUAGAGUGUUCAAAGCAGGCUUUCGCCCGAAUACAUUAGCAUGGAAUAAUAGAAUAGGACGCGCGUCUUUAUUUUGUUGGUUUCUAAAUUCGCCGUAAUGAUUAAUAGGGAUAGUCGGGGGCAUUCGUAUUGCUUGGUCAGAGGUGAAAUUCUUGGAUUCUAGCAAGACGAACUACUGCGAAAGCAUUUGCCAAGGAUGUUUUCAUUGAUCAAGAACGAAGGUUAGGGGAUCGAAAACGAUCAGAUACCGUUGUAGUCUUAACAGUAAACUAUGCCGACUAGGGAUCGGACAAGCACAAUCUAUGACUUGUUCGGCACCUGAAGAGAAAUCUUUAAGUCUAGGUUCGGGGGGGAGUAUGGUCGCAAGGCUGAAACUUAAAGGAAUUGACGGAAGGGCACCACCAGGUGUGGAGCCUGCGGCUUAAUUUGACUCAACACGGGGAAACUCACCAGGUCCAGACACAAUAAGGAUUGACAGAUUGAUAGCUCUUUCUUGAUCUUGUGGUUGGUGGUGCAUGGCCGUUCUUAGUUGGUGGAGUGAUUUGUCUGGUUAAUUCCGAUAACGAACGAGACCUUAACCUGCUAAAUAGACCCGGGGCCUUAGGGAACCGGCUGUCUUCUUAGAGGGACUGUAGG
rnacentral:rRNA from 1 species